rnacentral:misc_RNA from 1 species
GAUGAAGAACGCAGCGAAAUGCGAUAAGUAAUGUGAAUUGCAGAAUUCAGUGAAUCAUCGAAUCUUUGAACGUACAUUGCGCCCGCCAGUAUUCUGGCGGGCAUGCCUGUUCGAGCGUCAUUUCAACCAUCAAGCCCCAGGCUUGUGUUGGGGACCUGCGGCUGCCGCAGGCCCUGAAAACCAGUGGCGGGCUCGCUGUCACACCGGGCGUAGUAGAUUUUAUCUCGCUCAGGGCGUGCUGCGGGUUCCGGCCGUUAAAAAGCCUUUUUUACCCAAGGUUGACCUCGGAUCAGGUAGGAAGGCCCGCUGAACUUAAGCAUAUCAAUAAGCGGAGGA